CAGACUGCAGGAGGCUGCGGCAACACAGAUCGCGUGCUUUUUUUUCUAAACGGAUAAACAGACAGAUAAAAUAAUAACAUAAUAACAACAGUAGCUGUUAUAAUCACCGUCCGCUCUCCUCCAAUACUGAAUAAACUACUGGGACCAAAAAAGAACCAUUCCAUCUUUCCUGUUCCGUCUGUCUCUCUCUCUCCUUCCCUUCCCUUCCUUUCUGUCUCUCUUCCCCCUCCUUUCCUUCUCUCUCUGUGAUGAGGGGCUGUGGCUGAGGCAGUGGGUGAGGGUCUGUGUCCAGUCUGAAGCUGGGGAAGCUAAAGGUGGUGCGGCGGCAGCUGCUGCAGAGGUAUGAGCACCAGCCGUUUGUGUCAUGUCUGGCUGGUCUAUACGGCUGUCAAUGGAGACGCUACCAGAGGGCCAAGUCACAGCCCGGGGAGAGCUGCUGCAGCAGGGUGGAGUGUGGGAGCGUGGUUUUCCUGGUCCUGACCUUCCUCCUCUC